GGGCUCGGCCCCGGGGCCGCUCGUCCCCGCCGGCCGACCGAUCGACCCCUCCGCUCUCCCUCCUCGGCCCGGGCCCGCGACUGCCUCUCACCUGUGCCGCCGCCGAGCCUCGUCGCGGCCGCCCGGCUUCGCUGAGGGAGCGCGAGCGCGAAGCGGCGCCGCGUAGGAAAGGGACGCGGUGCUCAGGGCCCGACCCUCGGCCCCUCGCGCCCGCCCGCCCCGCUCAGGGGUAGCGCUCCCGGGCUGGAGGCGAUUGUUUGGGCACAACGGCAUCUGCGGCGUCACGGCCCCCAGCGUUCCACCCGGGCUCCGGCAAAAUGGCUCUCCAUGCGCCAAGAAAGGAGAACGCCGCGGCUGGAGCCCGUCCCGCAGCUCCCGGUUGCAAAACAUCUGUAUUCCCAACUAGUUUGUUUAUGGACUUUCUGAUGGCAAGGAGGCAGAAGAGUAGCAGAACUACUUAGAGCAAUUCCAUUACCCAAAAAAGCUGUCUCUAAGGUCUGCGGCAUUUAACAGACUCCCUUCAAAUUUGAUUUCACCAGAGAAAGGGAACAAGCAAAACCUUCCAAAGUAGAAGCUGAACUAUUCAAAGCUCACCUGAAGUGAAACAAGAUGGACACCCUCUGAGGUUGCACAGCAGCCUCAAUGCCAGCAGCAGUGAUGCCAGAGCCAGCCGAGGAAAAGCCCUUGUGUCAGCACUGGACAUUUCCUCCAGAACAGAUACUGUGGUGGGAUGAGGAGGAUGUACAGAGCAAGCUGUUACCAUGGUUCAGUCAACUCUUUUCCAAGAUGAUGGGAAAGGUUCCUGGAACACUCCACAGCCUCCAUCUUGGCCAUGUACACAGAACUUACUAGUCACCUGUAAUACCACCUGCAAGCCUGUUUGGUAUCCAGAAGUUAUUCGUAUAAUAUUUGGCUUUAUCCAUAGCAACACUUACUGUUGUCUGUCUUGCAUUUACUCUUUAUAUAAGAACUAGCACAUCUGAAUACACGUCCAACAGAUGCAUAAUGCCAUCUUGUGACAGUACUGCAAUAGUACACCAGACUCCAACACAGCUUCCGCACAGCGGUCAUCAGUUGUUCACAGGCCCUUAGGAGUAUACAUUAUUUCCAGAAUAUACGAUGAAGACCUAAGGAAAGCACAUAAACAUUAUACAGCAGUCUCUGUAUCUGACAACAGUAAAGUGUCUGUUUGUAUUUUCAUCAAGAAGUAUUUGGAAGUUUUUCAGUGAAGUAGGUACUAAAAGCACGUAAGUGCUUUUGUUUUCAAGAAUGUACUAACAUUAUUUAAAGUGACAUCAGUUCUUUAAAACCAUUACUGCUUUAAUAAGCAAUUAAAAUGAAGCAGAAGAUUUUUUCAUAGAAAAUAUUGACACAAAUCUGUAGUAGCAGCAGUUUUUAAUUUACCAAAAACUGGCAUCUAUUAGCAACAGGACAUACAUAAAAAUGUUUGUUUAUACAAAUAAAAUUAGGUUCUGAAUAUUCACAAAGUGACAUGACAGAGCAACAUUCUUACUCAUACUGACAUUUAGUCUGAUCAGUUGUGAUAUAAAAACCCUGUAUAAUAUUCAGUCAAGCACCAUGGCAGACAGUGCAUUAAGAUCUCUCAUGAAUGGAUGAUCAGCUAAUAUUUUAUCAAUCUUUUGUCUUUGCUCAUAAUCAGGAAAUAUUUUUAUCAGGGCUUCUCUUAGCCAUACUGUUUCUGAGGCAGAUCUUUGUGGUGGAAUUGACAGACAAGCCUUCAUAUUUGUAUCCAAUGGAAGCCAUGCUGCUGAAUGAUCACCAUGUGCUCGAUUUUUAGGCUGUUGACUGCUGCUGGCUGGAUUGGGAACGUGCAUGAAGAGAGGUGUCUCAGAAGAAUAUUGCUCUCUGCUCUGUAAAGCUUUUUGUGCUGACAGAAAAUCUCUAGGGAAUAAAAUGAAAGUUUUGAUUAAAUUGAGAUAGAGCAAACACUGGUUCUGUACAGCCACAGAAAAGAAAAAAAGCCUACAACUCCUAUUCUUCAUUGAUUGCUCAGUUACUGACUCAAAAAAUAUGAAUCACUUCACUCCCAAGUGAAACAAAACUGUAGGUAUAACAUUUUUCAGCUUGAAUCUGGCAUGACUAACAAUAUUAACCAACAUUACCCAGGACUUGUUCCAAUACGCCAUGAGCACUAUGACACCUACCUGGCAGAGUAUAGCAACAGUCAAAGCUCAUUUACUGGAAAUAUCCACACAAAUAUCAUUGAUCUAAAUGGAUUAAAAGAUGUGUUGAACAUAUAUAUACACACUGAUUGAGAAUGUGAAAAUAUGGACAGACUGCAGACACUUCAGCCAUUCCACAAGAUCAUUCUUCAUCUAUUUGUGCCCACAUUUGUCAGCUGUGCCCACAUUUCAGAUUGUACAAUGAGAAAAACAUAGCCUUAUAUCUUUAAUGGGGCAAUGAAGUUUUUCAGCAAUUUUAGGAUCUGAAUAUUCUCUUAAUUAUUGAGAUUUCAUUUCAGACUAUUUAAGAAGUUGAUGCUAUUCAAAACUGCUAUCAAUUUAGAGCCAAUUCCACUUCACAUGCCACCACAUAACGCAGAAAUAUGAACUAGAACUCUCAUUACAGUUCAUUCUCCUGCUACCAAGGGAAAUUGUAUUAAAAUUACAGAGCUCUAUUUUAAAAGUUAUACAUUAAUCCAGUUAUAAUUGUUAGGCUGGUGAAAAAAGGAAAGGGAAGCCUAAUUCUUGUUUGAAAGAACAAAUCCAUUUUCAAAUCUUGGCACAUAAAGCAGAGCAAAUUCAUCCUUCUGAAAUACAUGCAUAUUUAAAGAGUACAAUAAUAACAACAAGCUUAUUAAUAUUUAACAUUGUAAAUCAAGUACAAAUGCUUUUAAAUAGCAGCACCCCUCCAAAAUGGUUUUAUUAACAGUACCAUAACCACAUGUGAAAUGAAAUGCCUCUCACAUGACAAAGGAUAUGAAUCUAGUGUUUCUUCUGUGGUAACUACUGCUCACCUAUUAAUACUGAGCAAGUGUAUUUUAGAUACCACCACUGUAAUUGGAAGGACACCAGACUACCACAUACCUCAACUACCAGUAGGUUUGUGCAAUAAUGACACAGUUUGGACCACCUUUGUAUGAAAAUCACCACAGUGAAACCUCAGAGGAAGUUAUUUGAGGCAUUUGUCUUACUUAUUUCAGUUGUGAGAGAGAUGGUGAUGCAAAUGUCACCAGCACUUUCUGAACAGACUGCAGUAACAGGAAAAAAAUACCCAUGUUUUUAAGCUACUACCUGCUAGCUUUCUUGUCUGAUUUUACUGUACCCUUUACUGUACCUAUAUUGCUCUACAGAAAUGUUCAAGUGAGCCACAGUUUAUUUCCCAGCCACAGUUGAUUAUCUGAAAUCAUAACUGUCUUGAACAGAAGUGAAAACAGAGCUUAUACCUAGAACAGCCUUCACUUUGAAGGAAGUCAUCUAAUCUGGGUCCAUUUCGCCCCAAGGGAUCAUCAGGAACCAUAAAAAUGUCCCCAGCAAAAGUGUACUGGAGCAACCUGCAAGAGAGUUCUUCCAUUAUUCUUUACUAACAAUGUAUUCUCCCCUUCCCACCCUUCAUCUCCAUAAAACAGCAGUAUGGACUGUUUGCUCUAGGCACAUACAACAUCAGGAGUUACUGAAGCUUAACUAGUGAAUACCCAUUUUAAUUGCAGCCAGCAUUCACUAUCAAAGUAACUUUAAGGAAACGUAUGUACACUGCUCUUAUUUGUACUGCAAAACACCGAGGUGGUUGUUGUUUUUUUUCCUUUCCUUUUACAAACAGCAUGUCAGGUGACUGCAGGUUUUUUUUUUUUUCUUCUUACAGAGACCAGCAUGGAAUUUUCCAGAUGAUUACAGAAGGUUUUCUGGUUGUUCAGACUCCCCUUCUUUAUAAGGAUCUUCAAACACAAAGCAAUUAGUGCUUAUGUUAUCAGAAAGCCACACAACUAGCAAACAUUGUUAGAUGCCUAUGGUUGAAACAGAAAAGCUUUUUUUUUCUCUGGAAUCAUUUUAGGCCGGUGGAAAAUCUGCAUUCAGGGAAACUCGUUCAACUAAAAUCUGUCUGUGAGGAAAUUUGGUAUAGUGGAAUUUCCCCAGAAGUAAAACUAACAGCACAUGUUAACACAUGAUCUUAAGAAAAAAAUAAAAGCACACACACUAAGAAUGACA